rnacentral:rRNA from 1 species
UACAGAGGGGGCAAGCGUUGUUCGGAAUUACUGGGCGUAAAGGGCGCGUAGGCGGCCUGCUAAGUCGAACGUGAAAUCCCUGGGCUCAACCCAGGAACUGCGUCCGAUACUGGUUGGCUUGAAUCCGGGAGAGGGAUGUGGAAUUCCAGGUGUAGCGGUGAAAUGCGUAGAUAUCUGGAGGAACACCGGUGGCGAAGGCGGCAUCCUGGACCGGCAUUGACGUUGAGGCGCGAAAGCCAGGGGAGCAAACGGG